UGUGGCAAUUUAAUUACCAAAAUAAUAACUAUUUCUAUCACUCUUAAUGUUUAGGUAACCUGCCCAAGUGAAUUGUAUUAACUAAUUGAUGUUUUUUUGGGGGGUCUCUGUUGCUGUUCCUGGAUGAUUCUCUUCUGUUUCAUGGUCUGCAGUGCAUGGACAGUGUUUACAAGGUAGCCCUAUACUCCUAUAUUCAUCACAACAUAGUAGGUAGCGUGACUCCGCGCGACGGCUGGAGGAGGCGAGGUCGGGCCUGCCCUCCAUAGACGGCAGACUCCGCGUGACGGCUGGAGGAGGCGAGGUCGGGCCUGCCCUCCAUCGACACUCCACGCCGCCGCAGCCCGCAGCCCCAUCAGCGCCGUCGCUCCAUCGCCGUCCCGACCUCGAAGGCGAACCGGUUUCGAGUCCCUCGCGCUGCCACUGAUCCCAGGGCUCCUCAACCCUGCAAGCCGUCGAUCCUGCCUGCGAACAAGUAUCGAGGGGGGUCUUGGCCGGAUCAGUUGCUCAUGGCCGGUAGGAGUGAGGAGUACACAGGCUUCCACACUACGAGGAAACUUCAAUGCUCGAGUUGUCGAGCUAGGUUGGGGAUAUUUGAUUCUUUAAUCUAUAUAGGGUUUGGUAGCGUGCACUCAGCCCUUAGGACUUAACAUGACAGUAAGUGAGAAAAAGGGAAAACAGUGAGUUUUUGCAUCAGGCUGGCUCAACUAAAUGAUUUUUAUGUCCCUUUGGUAAUGAAAAGAGAUUUUUCUGUUGUAUACCAUCUCAUAUGCUCUUAAGAUACAUUUUGAUUUACAUAACAAUUAUGUUUCUAUGUGAAAGAAACUAAAUAUAUAUUUGGUCAUUUUGGUAA